rnacentral:lncRNA from 1 species
CCGAGAUAAAUGGUGCCAUACAGAUUAAUUCCUAUCUAAGCACAGUGCUGCACAUUCAUCUUAUUCCCUGAGAUACAUCAUCUGCAAAGUGGAAAGUCCCAAGUAAGCCAGCUACAGCAUUUUCACACUAUCCCCCUAGGAUGUACAGACCCAUAAAGGGACUUUCCUCGUUCAUUUCUUACAGAAAUGCCCUGCAGAUGCCAGCUGAAACAGUCCAGGAGAUUAACACUCAGGCUGCUGUAACACCAUGGGCUGCUGUCCCUGCGUGCUUAGGAAGAUUUGUGAGCAAAGAGAAGAGAAGAAUAACCACAAAACAACAACAACAAGAUACCCUCUGCAACAAAGCAGAGCCCACUAGAAAGCAAAGAUCCCAGGUGAUGCCCAAAGCGAGGACUCUGAAAUUUGAUAAGCGAUGCUAUAAAGCAGAAACUCCAAAGAAAAAAACAGAAUGCCUGUUCUCGUGCAACUUUGCCUCCAGCUCUGGAUCUUGCAAGGACUGAAUUCAUGAUAAAUUAUGCUACGGAAAGACAUCUCUCCAGCUUCUAUAUGUACAGCGACUCACUGGAAAUGAAAGGACGUCUGGAACAGCUACCCGGGGAAAGCAGGCGCUCGCAUCCCCACUCCCUGGGAGACAGAUUUUCUCUCACCCAGCUCAAGUAGCCACUGGAAACAGCCUCUCCUAGCAAGGCUACAGGCACGUUGAGCUCGAGCACUUAUAGAUAUAAAUCAGUUCGUAAUUAUAAACCUAAUUAUUCCGAUUGAAAAGAAUAAAGCAGGAGCUGUUUGCCUGGAGGCUUUGAGU